AAUGGCGCCUAGUAAUGCUAUCAGAUUUAAUUGUUGUUUCAUGAUAUAGUUUGUGUCAUGUGGCUCAUCAGAACUUGUGCAUUUUGAAAUGUUCUUUUUGCAAAAAUAUGAUGAUAUCAGUAGUUACAAAGAAACGUACAUUAUUAAUGAAUACCUUUAUAAUUAGGAAAUCACUCACCUUUUUCUUCAAAACCCAUGAGGAGGCUUGUUUUUAGACCAGCAAGUGUUGGACCUGGAUUGCCACAACUUCUUUUUUAGAUGUGCUGUGCUUGCCAAUCAACUACAACCAACAACUAUUUUCCUUCAAUUCAGCAUGAUGUCAUCAACUGUCUCCCUCAUCGUCUGCUGAUGAAACCCUCUACCAACCAGAUGUGCUGUGACUGCCAAUCAACUCCAACCAACAACAACCAACAGCUAUUUUCCUUCAAUUCAGCAUGAUGUCAUCAACUGUCUCCCUCAUCUUCUGCUAAUCAAACCCUCUACCAACCAGGAUUCAGUUAAGAACAAGAGCAAAUCCCUAAGGAGAACCAGUGUCGUAGAGAUUGUCUUCCUAAAAAGAAGAAUCUUGAGUCCCGCUGUUCUAUUGCCUUAUGGGCAGGCUCGCCAGCAUAUUGACUGCUAUUUGUAAUCUGUUUGCGCUACCUGCACCUCUACAUACCAGCCACACUAAAUGAAUAUUUGUCAUCAUUUUGGCAUAGAACAUUGUGAUCUAUGAAAAGGAAGACAUGCCGGUUGUUGCUGAAUCUGUAUCCUGUGUCUGAAUUGAUUACCUUGUUAUACAAAGUGCUGUUUCUUGGUGAUCCAUGUUCCUGUACUUUGAGUUUCUAUUAAAGUUCUGCG